GAUGAACGCUGGCGGCGUGCCUAAUACAUGCAAGUCGAGCGAACAGACGAGGAGCUUGCUCCUCUGACGUUAGCGGCGGACGGGUGAGUAACACGUGGAUAACCUACCUAUAAGACUGGGAUAACUUCGGGAAACCGGAGCUAAUACCGGAUAAUAUAUUGAACCGCAUGGUUCAAUAGUGAAAGACGGUUUUGCUGUCACUUAUAGAUGGAUCCGCGCCGCAUUAGCUAGUUGGUAAGGUAACGGCUUACCAAGGCGACGAUGCGUAGCCGACCUGAGAGGGUGAUCGGCCACACUGGAACUGAGACCCGGUCCAGACUCCUACGGGAGGCAGCAGUAGGCAAUCUUCCGCAAUGGGCGGAAGCCUGACGGAGCAACGCCGCGUGAGUGAUGAAGGUCUUCGGAUCGUAAAACUCUGUUAUUAGGGAAGAACAAAUGUGUAAGUAACUAUGCACGUCUUGACGGUACCUAAUCAGAAAGCCACGGCUAACUACGUG
rnacentral:rRNA from 1 species